UACGGAGGGUGCGAGCGUUAAUCGGAAUUAUUGGGCGUAAAGGGUGCGUAGGUGGUUUCAUAAGUUAGUUGUGAAAGUCCUGGGCUUAACCUAGGGAUGUCAACUAGUACUGUGAGACUUGAGUAAAGUAGAGGGUAGUGGAAUUUCCGGUGUAGCGGUGAAAUGCGUAGAGAUCGGAAGGAACACCGGUGGCGAAGGCGGCUACCUGGGCUAUUACUGACACUGAGGCACGAAAGCGUGGGGAGCAAACAGG
rnacentral:rRNA from 1 species